rnacentral:rRNA from 1 species
AACGAACGCUGGCGGCAUGCCUAACACAUGCAAGUCGAACGAGACCUUCGGGUCUAGUGGCGCACGGAUGCGUAACGCGUGGGAAUCUGCCCUUGGGUUCGGAAUAACAGUUAGAAAUGACUGCUAAUACCGGAUGAUGACUUCGGUCCAAAGAUUUAUCGCCCAGGGAUGAGCCCGCGUAGGAUUAGCUUGUUGGUGAGGUAAAAGCUCACCAAGGCGACGAUCCUUAGCUGGUCUGAGAGGAUGAUCAGCCACACUGGGACUGAGACACGGCCCAGACUCCUACGGGAGGCAGCAGUGGGGAAUAUUGGACAAUGGGCGAAAGCCUGAUCCAGCAAUGCCGCGUGAGUGAUGAAGGCCUUAGGGUUGUAAAGCUCUUUUACCCGGGAUGAUAAUGACAGUACCGGGAGAAUAAGCCCCGGCUAACUCCGUGCCAGCCGCCGCGGUAAAAC